rnacentral:rRNA from 1 species
CUCCGGUUGAUCCUGCCGGACCCGACUGCUAUCGGAUUGAGAUUUAGCCAUGCGAGUCGAACGUCCCCCUGUUGCGGGGGGCGUGGCGUACGGCUCAGUAACACGUAGUCAACCUGCCCUGGAGACAAGGACAACCCCGGGAAACUGGGAUUAAUCCUUGAUAGGUCAUCUCAUCUGGAAGGAGAGAUGGCUUAAAGGGGUACGCGGGCUUCUUCCGCGAAUCUGCUCCAGGAUGGGACUGCGUCCGAUCAGGCUGUUGGCGGGGUAAUGGCCCACCAAACCUGUAACCGGUACGGGCCUUGAGAGAGGUGGCCCGGAGAUGGACACUGAGAGAAGGGUCCAGGUCCUACGGGGCGCAGCAGGCGCGAAACCUUCGCAAUGCGCGAAAGCGUGACGAGGUUAAUCCGAGUGACUCCCGCUGAGGGGGUCUUUUGUCAGCUGUAAAUAGGCAGGCGAAUAAGGGGAGGGCAAGCCUGGUGUCAGCCGCCGCGGUAAUACCAGCUCCUCGAGUGGUCGGGGCGAUUAUUGGGCCUAAAGCAUCCGUAGCCGGUUCCGUAGGUCCUCUGUUAAAUCCAACCGCUUAACGGUUGACCUGCAGAGGAUACCGCGGGACUAGGAGGCGGGAGAGGCGGACGGUACUCCGCGUGUAGGGGUAAAAUCCUUUGAUCCGCGGAAGACCACCAGUGGCGAAGGCGGUCCGCCAGAACGCGCUCGACGGUGAGGGAUGAAAGCUGGGGGAGCGAACCGGAUUAGAUACCCGGGUAGUCCCAGCCGUAAACGAUGCUAGCUAGAUGAUUCAUUCGCAAGUCGCGAAUGAAGUGUCGCAGGGAAGCCGUUAAGCUAGCCGCCUGGGGAGUACGGUCGCAAGACUGAAACUUAAAGGAAUUGGCGGGGGAGCA